CUUGAGCGGCCUUUUAAUGACACAAAGGCUAAAGGGAAAAAAAAAAAAGAUUUGCAUAGCAAUAACUAUCAUUGCUUUAAAGCUGCAUAGACUUUUCAGAGCCCUGAACAACCACCAAAUCAGGAAUUCAAACCGCACCCUGGGAAGGCUGGGCUUCUUUUUGUUAAAAAGAAAAACCAAAGAUCUCUGAGGCAGCAUAAAUACUUUUUGGAGAAAAACACUAUGAGGAGCAUUGAGAAAGUCCUCAUUUGGAAUACUUAGCUGGACUUACCUAAACUGAACUUUCCCUUCCUUGACCCAGGGCAACCUCUGCCAAGCCCACCACCCUCCAGCUCCUACGCCAUGAAAGAUCGAAGAAGAUAAUCAGAAAAACCACCCAAGAAAAGGAAAAGGGAGAAUCAGUUACAUAUCCAGCAAGCCAGAAAACAAGAAAACCCAAAUCUGUUCCAGUUCUCUAGUUUCACCUUAAAGGCAAAGAACUGUAGAUGCUUGUGAGGAGCUCUUCAAAGCCUAAAUUCAUAGCCUCUCUACGCGGGAGGUUACCAGCAUCUGAAGAAAAACAACCACUACCAGAAAAGCUCUUCUUUGUUUUCAUUCUUCGCAGUCCUUCAGGAAACUCUUGAUAAUGUGAAAUGUUAUUACUGCAAAUGUUGGCUCAAGCACGUUUACUCUAGAGUCUGACUAUCAGUGACUUGUUCGCAAAAUAAAAUCAUUUUUAAAGCCUACAAGGAAAGCCAAGAGCAAACCACAAAUCAGAAAA
rnacentral:lncRNA from 1 species